UACGGAGGGUGCAAGCGUUAUCCGGAUUCACUGGGUUUAAAGGGUGCGUAGGUGGGCAGGUAAGUCAGUGGUGAAAUCUCUGGGCUUAACUCAGAAACUGCCAUUGAUACUAUCUGUCUUGAAUACCGUGGAGGUCAGCGGAAUAUGUCAUGUAGCGGUGAAAUGCUUAGAUAUGACAUAGAACACCGAUAGCGAAGGCAGCUUGCUACACAAUUAUUGACUCUGAGUCUCGAAAUCGUCGGGAUCAAACAGG
rnacentral:rRNA from 1 species